UGAGUGUAGAUGAAAGAAACCCGGCUUAUGCGUCAAACUCCGUUCAGUUGGUGGAGUCAUUUUCCAAGUCAUCACUGGGCAUAGUUUGUCGCAUAAUUAAAAACUAUAUCAACUUUUAUCGUU
rnacentral:pre_miRNA from 11 species